UACGUAGGGUGCAAGCGUUGUCCGGAAUUAUUGGGCGUAAAGAGCUCGUAGGCGGUUUGUCGCGUCUGCUGUGAAAACUCGGGGCUUAACUCCGGGCCUGCAGUGGGUACGGGCAGACUAGAGUGCGGUAGGGGAGACUGGAAUUCCUGGUGUAGCGGUGAAAUGCGCAGAUAUCAGGAGGAACACCGGUGGCGAAGGCGGGUCUCGUGGGCCGUAACUGACGCUGAGGAGCGAAAGCGUGGGGAGCGAACAGG
rnacentral:rRNA from 1 species